CCACCUGUACUAAUCAUUGGUCACGGAUCUGAUAACACGAGGUCUGCUCCACCUGCACUAAUCACUGGUCACGGAUCUGAUGACACGAGGUCUGCUCCACCUGCACUAAUCACUGGUCACGGAUCUGAUAACACGAGGUCUGCUCCACCUGCACUAAUCACAGAUCUGAUAACACGAGGUCUGCUCCACCUGCACUAAUCACUGGUCACAGAUCUGAUAACACGAGGUCUGCUCCACCUGCACUAAUCACUGGUCACAGAUCUGAUAACACGAGGUCUGCUCCACCUGCACUAAU